GGGGCUAUAGCUCAGCUGGGAGAGCGCAACACUGGCAGUGUUGAGGUCAGCGGUUCGAUCCCGCUUAGCUCCACCA
rnacentral:tRNA from 142 species